ensembl:rRNA 5S_rRNA 5S ribosomal RNA
GCCUACGGCCAUACUACCCUGAACACGCCCGAUCUCGUCUGAUCUCGGAAGCUAAGCAGGGUCAGGCCUGGUUAGUACUUGGAUGGGAGACCGCCUGGGAAUACCAGGUGCUGUAGGCU